rnacentral:lncRNA from 1 species
GAAAUCCAAUCUAGCCCAAAUUCCCUUUCCCAACUGCUAUUCGAAUCUUGAUCUCUGGAAUCGAAACCAAGACCAACGAGCCCUCGGUCAAGCGAAAGACUUACGACUUUGAAUUGAGGAUCACUAGAAUCCGAAGCUCUUUCAAGUCCUCUGGGCACAAAGGAACUAAACACUACACUAUUCUUUCUAUCUCUUUAGUUCGAAUCGAAUGCUUUGAUGCUCUUAACAGAGAGCACAGUUCAAGCAGAAUCCUAAUCAGACUAUUGCUCGUACCUA